rnacentral:rRNA from 1 species
GAUGAACGCUGGCGGCGUGCCUAAUACAUGCAAGUCGAGCGAACAGACGAGGAGCUUGCUCCUCUGACGUUAGCGGCGGACGGGUGAGUAACACGUGGAUAACCUACCUAUAAGACUGGGAUAACUUCGGAAAACCGGAGCUAAUACCGGAUAAUAUAUUGAACCGCAUGGUUCAAUAGUGAAAGACGGUUUUGCUGUCACUUAUAGAUGGAUCCGCGCCGCAUUAGCUAGUUGGUAAGGUAACGGCUUACCAAGGCAACGAUGCGUAGCCGACCUGAGAGGGGGAUCGGCCACACUGGAACUGAGACACGGUCCAGACUCCUACGGGAGGCAGCAGUAGGGAAUCUUCCGCAAUGGGCGAAAGCCUGACGGAGCAACGCCGCGUGAGUGAUGAAGGUCUUCGGAUCGUAAAACUCUGUUAUUAGGGAAGAACAAAUGUGUAAGUAACUAUGCACGUCUUGACGGUACCUAAUCAGAAAGCCACGGCUAACUACGUG